rnacentral:rRNA from 2 species
AGACCCGAAACCCGGUGAUCUAGCCAUGGGCAGGUUGAAGGUUGGGUAACACUAACUGGAGGACCGAACCGACUAAUGUUGAAAAAUUAGCGGAUGACCUGUGGCUGGGGGUGAAAGGCCAAUCAAACCGGGAGAUAGCUGGUUCUCCCCGAAAGCUAUUUAGGUAGCGCCUCGUGAAUUCAUCUCCGGGGGUAGAGCACUGUUUCGGCUAGGGGGCCAUCCCGGCUUACCAACCCGAUGCAAACUGCGAAUACCGGAGAAUGUUAUCACGGGAGACACACGGCGGGUGCUAACGUCCGUCGUGAAGAGGGAAACAACCCAGACCGCCAGCUAAGGUCCCAAAGUCAUGGUUAAGUGGGAAACGAUGUGGGAAGGCCCAGACAGCCAGGAUGUUGGCUUAGAAGCAGCCAUCAUUUAAAGAAAGCGUAAUAGCUCACUGGUCGAGUCGGCCUGCGCGGAAGAUGUAACGGGGCUAAACCAUGCACCGAAGCUGCGGCAGCGACGCUGAUGCGUUGUUGGGUAGGGGAGCGUUCUGUAAGCCUGCGAAGGUGUGUCGUGAGGCAUGCUGGAGGUAUCAGAAGUGCGAAUGCUGACAUAAGUAACGAUAAAGCGGGUGAAAAGCCCGCUCGCCGGAAGACCAAGGGUUCCUGUCCAACGUUAAUCGGGGCAGGGUGAGUCGACCCCUAAGGCGAGGCCGAAAGGCGUAGUCGAUGGGAAACGGGUUAAUAUUCCCGUACUUGGUGUUACUGCGAAGGGGGGACGGAGAAGGCUAUGUUGGCCGGGCGACGGUUGUCCCGGUUUAAGCGUGUAGGUGUGUGUUCCAGGUAAAUCCGGUUCACUUUAACACUGAGGCGUGAUGACGAGGCACUACGGUGCUGAAGCAACAAAUGCCCUGCUUCCAGGAAAAGCCUCUAAGCAUCAGGUAACAUCAAAUCGUACCCCAAACCGACACAGGUGGUCAGGUAGAGAAUACCAAGGCGCUUGAGAGAACUCGGGUGAAGGAACUAGGCAAAAUGGUGCCGUAACUUCGGGAGAAGGCACGCUGACACGUAGGUGAAGUGAUUUACUCAUGGAGCUGAAGUCAGUCGAAGAUACCAGCUGGCUGCAACUGUUUAUUAAAAACACAGCACUGUGCAAACACGAAAGUGGACGUAUACGGUGUGACGCCUGCCCGGUGCCGGA